rnacentral:lncRNA from 1 species
AUCCAGGAUUCUUCCUGCUGGAGGUGGUGCUACCAUAAUGGAAACUAGACAUCUACCAAGAGCUUGAGGACUGAGGAGAAGAUACUUGGAAACAGAAGGAGAGAGCAGUCAAUACACUUGCCUAAGGCCACACAGCUGCUACGCAAAUGACUGAUCUACAGUUACAACCCAAACCAAGACGAUGUCAAGACUGAGC